GACGAACGCUGGCGGCGUGCCUAAUACAUGCAAGUAGAACGCUGAAGGAGGAGCUUGCUCUUCUGGAUGAGUUGCGAACGGGUGAGUAACGCGUAGGUAACCUGCCUGGUAGCGGGGGAUAACUAUUGGAAACGAUAGCUAAUACCGCAUAACAGUAGAUGUUGCAUGACAUUUACUUAAAAGGUGCAAUUGCAUCACUACCAGAUGGACCUGCGUUGUAUUAGCUAGUUGGUGGGGUAACGGCUCACCAAGGCGACGAUACAUAGCCGACCUGGGAGGGUGAGCGGCCACACUGGGACUGAGACACGGCCCAGACUCCUACGGGAGGCAGCAGUAGGGAAUCUUCGGCAAUGGACGGAAGUCUGACCGAGCAACGCCGCGGGAGGGAAGAAGGUUUUCGGAUCGUAAAGCUCGGUUGUAAGAGAAGAACGAGUGUGAGAGUGGAAAGUUCACACUGUGACGGUAUCUUACCAGAAAGGGACGGCUAACUACGUG
rnacentral:rRNA from 1 species